ACCUGAGUAGCUCAGUUGGUUAAGCACCUGACUUCGACUCAGGUCAUGAUCUCGCAGUUCGUGAGUUAGAGCCCACAUCAGGUU
rnacentral:tRNA from 1 species